rnacentral:rRNA from 1 species
UGGGGGAUAUUGCACAAUGGGGGAAACCCUGAUGCAGCGACGCCGCGUGGAGGAAGAAGGUUUUCGGAUUGUAAACUCCUGUCGUUAGGGACGAUAAUGACGGUACCUAACAAGAAAGCACCGGCUAACUACGUGCCAGCAGCCGCGGUAAAACGUAGGGUGCAAGCGUUGUCCGGAUUUACUGGGUGUAAAGGGUGCGUAGGCGGCUUUGCAAGUCAGAUGUGAAAUCUAUGGGCUCAACCCAUAAACUGCAUUUGAAACUGUAGAGCUUGAGUGAAGUAGAGGCAGGCGGAAUUCCCCGUGUAGCGGUGAAAUGCGUAGAGAUGGGGAGGAACACCAGUGGCGAAGGCGGCCUGCUGGGCUUUAACUGACGCUGAGGCACGAAAGCGUGGGUAGCAAACAGGAUUAGAUACCCUGGUAGUCCACGCUGUAAACGAUGAUUACUAGGUGUGGGGGGUCUGACCCCUUCCGUGCCGGAGUUAACACAAUAAGUAAUCCACCUGGGGAGUACGGCCGCAAGGUUGAAACUCAAAGGAAUUGACGGGGGCCCGCACAAGCAGUGGAGUAUGUGGUUUAAUUCGAAGCAACGCGAAGAACCUUACCAGGUCUUGACAUCCAACUAACGAAGUAGAGAUACAUUAGGUGCCCUUCGGGGAAAGUUGAGACAGGUGGUGCAUGGUUGUCGUCAGCUCGUGUCGUGAGAUGUUGGGUUAAGUCCCGCAACGAGCGCAACCCUUGCUAUUAGUUGCUACGCAAGAGCACUCUAAUAGGACUGCCGUUGACAAAACGGAGGAAGGUGGGGACGACGUCAAAUCAUCAUGCCCCUUAUGACCUGGGCUACACACGUACUACAAUGGAUGUUAACAGAGGGAAGCAAGACAGCGAUGUGGAGCAAACCCCCAAAAACAUUCUCAGUUCAGAUUGCAGGCUGCAACCCGCCUGCAUGAAGAUGGAAUUGCUAGUAAUCGCGGAUCAGCAUGCCGCGGUGAAUACGUUCCC